rnacentral:misc_RNA from 1 species
GAAAUGCGAUAAUUAAUGUGAAUUGCAGAAUUCAGUGAAUCAUCGAGUCUUUGAACGCACAUUGCGCCCCCUGGUAUUCCGGGGGGCAUGCCUGUCCGAGCGUCAUUACUGCCCUCAAGCCCGGCUUGUGUGUUGGGCCCUGCUCCCCCGGGGGCAGGCCCGAAAGGCAGUGGCGGCACCGCGUCCGGUCCUCGAGCGUAUGGGGCUUUGUCACCCGCUCUGUAGGCCCGGCCGGCGCUUGCCGACCCCCAUCAAUCUUUUUUCAGGUUGACCUCGGAUCAGGUAGGGAUACCCGCUGAACUUAA